rnacentral:rRNA from 1 species
UACGGAGGGUGCAAGCGUUGUCCGGAAUCACUGGGCGUACAGGGCGCGUAGGCGGCUCAUGAAGGCUGUGGUGAAAGUCCGGGGCUCAACCUCGGAUCGGCCGUGGCGACUCGUGGGCUGGAGCACUGUAGAGGCAGGUGGAAUUCCGGGUGUAGCGGUGGAAUGCGUAGAGAUCCGGAAGAACACCGGUGGCGAAGGCGGCCUGCUGGGCAGUAGCUGACGCUGAGGCGCGACAGCGUGGGGAGCAAACAGG